rnacentral:pre_miRNA from 1 species
AAGUUGUGUGACAUGCCCGUUUGGAAUAUACUCUGAUGUAUUUAUUUAAUAAUUAAUUGCUUUGGGAUAACGGGGUGUUAAGAAAUC